UACGAAGGGUGCAAGCGUUACUCGGAAUUACUGGGCGUAAAGCGUGCGUAGGUGGUUGUUUAAGUCUGUUGUGAAAGCCCUGGGCUCAACCUGGGAAUUGCAGUGGAUACUGGGCGACUAGAGUGUGGUAGAGGGUAGUGGAAUUCCUGGUGUAGCAGUGAAAUGCGUAGAGAUCAGGAGGAACAUCCAUGGCGAAGGCAGCUACCUGGACCAACACUGACACUGAGGCACGAAAGCGUGGGGAGCAACCAGG
rnacentral:rRNA from 1 species